rnacentral:misc_RNA from 1 species
GUGAAUCAUCAAAUUUUUGAACGCAUAUUGCACUCUCUGGUAUUCCGGAGAGUAUGCCUGUUUGAGGGUAAGUAAAAAUAAUCUUUGACCAAGUUUUUUUGUUCAAAGGAGAUGAGCUCUCCGCGUUUAUAGCUGUAGCUUGAAAUAAAUGCUCAAGUCUCAUUUUAGUCGAGACGCGUAAUAAUAUUAUUUCGCGAAAUCUUCAUUAUGAUAC